GAUGAACGCUGGCGGCGUGCCUAAUACAUGCAAGUCGAGCGAACAGACGAGGAGCUUGCUCCUCUGACGUUAGCGGCGGACGGGUGAGUAACACGUGGAUAACCUACCUAUAAGACUGGGAUAACUUCGGGAAACCGGAGCUAAUACCGGAUAAUAUAUUGAACCGCAUGGUUCAAUAGUGAAAGACGGUUUUGCUGUCACUUAUAGAUGGAUCCGCGCCGCAUUAGCUAGUUGGUAAGGUAACGGCUUCCCAAGGCAACGAUGCGUAGCCGACCUGAGAGGGUGAUCGGCCACACUGGAACUGAGACACGGUCCAGACUCCUACGGGAGGCAGCAGUAGGGAAUCUUCCGCAAUGGGCGAAAGCUUGACGGAGCAACGCCGCGUGAGUGAUGAAGGUCUUCGGAUCGUAAAACUCUGUUAUUAGGGAAGAACAAAUGUGUAAGUAACUAUGCACGUCUUGACGGUACCUAAUCAGAAAGCCACGGCUAACUACGUG
rnacentral:rRNA from 1 species